GGGCAGGUGGCGAAAUGGUAGACGCGUCGGUUUCAGGAGCCGGUGUGGUGACACAUGUGGGUUCGAGUCCCAUCCUGCCCA
rnacentral:tRNA from 1 species